GGCUAUUACUCCUAGCUCUGAAGAGGUGUGCUCAAGGCCCUGACACUAAGGGGAAUGUGGCAUGAAGAGAAGAAAGCCCUGUGUGUACUAUCAGCUCUUGGUCCACACUCACAGACGUGGAACUAAGCUUGUGUAAUAUGAUGACCUUCCAAAUCCCCUCUCCUUGUGGAUAUCAUGCUAAGAUGGCACAGCACAGCUGAAUACACUUCUCCCCACAACUUCUGAUCCAGACUGUGUCACUGUGAUCCUCCCUCCUCUGGCCUGAAACCCAAAUCCUGGUGUGGUGGCAGGAGGGGAUCUUCCCUCACCUUCAGAUGAGAUAAAAGCCAGACCAAACAGAGAGAAGGUGGCAACACACAGGUGCCAACUGUUGCCUUCCUGCAGGAGAUUUAUUUCUGCGUAGUUCACAAAUCAUUUUGGCCACUCAAACUCUUUGAAUCUAAAGACCCUUUCCUACUGUGAGUGGCAUACUUCUUUCAAAGAGGUCACUUUUUCUUUCCUUUCCAGAGUUGCAAGACUGUAGGUGCAAGUCCACACAUUUAAACAGAAAUAUUUUUGAGGCCUUGAAG